AAUGGGCGCAAGCCUGAUCCAGCAAUGCCGCGUGCAGGAUGAAGGCCUUCGGGUUGUAAACUGCUUUUGUACGGAACGAAAAAGUCUUUUUUAAUACAGGAGGCUGAUGACGGUACCGUAAGAAUAAGCACCAGCUAACUACGUGCCAGCAGCCGCGGUAAUACGUAGGGUGCGAGCGUUAAUCGGAAUUACUGGGCGUAAAGCGUGCGCAGGCGGUUCUGUAAGACAGAUGUGAAAUCCCCGGGCUCAACCUGGGACCUGCAUUUGUGACUGCAAAGCUAGAGUACGGCAGAGGGGGAUGGAAUUCCGCGUGUAGCAGUGAAAUGCGUAGAUAUGCGGAGGAACACCGAUGGCGAAGGCAAUCCCCUGGGCCUGUACUGACGCUCAUGCACGAAAGCGUGGGGAGCAAA
rnacentral:rRNA from 1 species